rnacentral:rRNA from 1 species
AUUGAACGCUGGCGGCAGGCCUAACACAUGCAAGUCGAGCGGAGCGGCGGACGGGUGAGUAAUGCCUAGGAAUCUGCCUGGUAGUGGGGGAUAACGUCCGGAAACGGGCGCUAAUACCGCAUACUAUCAGAUGAGCCUAGGUCGGAUUAGCUAGUUGGUGGGGUAAAGGCCUACCAAGGCGACGAUCCAUAACUGGUCUGAGAGGAUGAUCAGUCACACGGAAACUUAGCAGGGGCCGAGACACGUGCGGGGGGACGCAGUGGGGAAUAUUGGACAAGGGGCGAAAGCCUGAUCCAUCCAUGGCGGGGGUGUGAAGAAUGUCGUCGGAUUGUAAAGCACUUUAAUUUGGAGGGCGUAAAAAAAAGAAUAAGCACCGGCUAACUUCGGGCCAGCAGCCGCGGUAAUAC